rnacentral:rRNA from 1 species
UACGGAGGGUGCAAGCGUUGCUCGGAAUUAUUGGGCGUAAAGGGUAGGUAGGUGGUCUCAUUUGUCUGGGGUGAAAGCCUUGAGCUUAACUCAAGAAGUGCCCCAGAGACGGUGAGACUAGAGUUCUGGAGAGGGUCGUGGAAUUCCCGGUGUAGCGGUGAAAUGCGUAGAGAUCGGGAGGAACACCAGAGGCGAAGGCGGCGACCUGGACAGAUACUGACACUCAACUACGAAAGCGUGGGGAGCAAACAGG